rnacentral:misc_RNA from 1 species
AAUUCUCAACUACACUGACUUUGAAUUGGUGUGGCUUGGAUUUGGGGGGAAAAUUGUUGUGGGCUUUUUGUAUAGUCUGCUCCCCUGAAAUUGAUUAGCGGUACCUUUGUGGAACUGUCUACAGGUGUGAUAAUUAUCUACAUCCUGGACAUCUGCUUAAUGCUGCUUUCUAAACCUCUUCUGUAUUGACCA